rnacentral:rRNA from 1 species
AGGGCACCACCAGGAGUGGAGCCUGCGGCUUAAUUUGACUCAACACGGGAAAACUUACCUGGUCCUGACACUAGAAGGAUUGACAGAUUGAUAGCUCUUUCUUGAUUUGGUGGAUGGUGGUGCAUGGCCGUUCUUAGUUGGUGGAGUGAUUUGUCGGGUUAAUUCCGAUAACGAACGAGACUCUAGCCUAUUAAAUAACACACAGAAUCUUGUCUUCUGUGGCGUUUCUUAAUGGGAUCAAGUGUGCUUAACGCUUUGAAACAGAGCAAUAACAGGUCUGUGAUGCCCUUAGAUGUUCGGGGCCGCACGCGCGCUACAUUGAGAGACAAAAUGAGUUUUCUAGUCUUUAAUAAGGCUAGUAAUCUUUGAAUGUUUUUCUUAAUGGGGAUAGGGGAUUGCAAUUGUGCCCCUUGAACGAGGAAUUCCCAGUAAGUGCUAGUCAUUAGCUAGUACUGAUUACGUCCCUGCCCUUUGUACACACCGCCCGUCGCUACUACCGAUUGAAUGGUUUAGUGAGAU